AAUCAUCCAGAUGGUGCCGGAUUGUUCAGCCGUCAGUUUUGUUGUCUUUAAAUAAACCAGUUUUUUUUAUGAACGUUCGAUGAUGUUACUUCGAAAACUUUAGCAUUCCGAAGUGGGAUUACCGCUGAGCCUCCCCAGAACAGUGGUGGCUGCGACAGCCACGUUCACGCCGACGAACGUGAGUCUUCUUCGCGGGCGGUGGUGCGCGUCCAUUGUUUCCGCCACCGACGAGAGGCCGUUCAGUGUUCCCGUUGACUCGACGAGAAAGCACAGCCAUGGCCGCGGACCGUGAGCUCGUACGGACCCUGGCGUCGCAACCGGGCUUCGCAUCGGUGACCGCGAUGCCAGACUUGACGGCGUCCAUUCCCGCCUUCUCUGACUCGUCGUCGGCAGCGAGCGCCAUGAAGUGCGCGGUACUGGGAGGCGCAUAUCAACACGGUGGCGGCGCAACGCAGUCCGGGUGGAGCGAUGAAAUAACGCUCGCUGUUGCUUCAUCGAAGGUGAGCGGGACGGCUUGAGUGGCAUCCAGCGACUGGAAACUUGGUCGAAAUGGGCUGAAGAACUGCAGAUGGUGUUCCCCGAUGAUGACGAUUCGCACUCUACGAGAUGAUGCUCCGGCGGACACAGACCGGAACAAGCAGCCCACAAGAAAAAAAAAAGACACUGUGGAGGACAAGCUUCUCAAAAAGCUUCGCCAGGAGCUGAAAGGUCACAGGCUCCGUGCAUCUUCUGGGGAUCCUGAGGACGUUGCAUCACAAGCUCGAGGACCUGUCUUCGCUGUACCUGCCCUGGCCUCUGCUGAAGAGGCCUCUGCUAGGUCCAAGGAGGCCCGGAUAAAGGAGGGCGAGACCUGGGCCAACAAUGUCGAGACCAGGGCCAGUGAGCCUCAGACCGGGGCCGAAGCCAGGGCUAAUAAGGUCAAAGCCUGGGCCAACGAGGCCGAAGCCAGGGCAGGGCCACCGAGGCUGAAGCCAGCAUGGAGCAGGUUGAGACCAGGACCGACCUGACUGGGGGACGCUGAGGCUAGGGCGGCCGAGGCCAGAGCACAGGAGGUCGAGGUUGUAACGUAGCGUCCUCUGCAUCCGGAUGUAAGGUGAAACAGUAUAACCUAUUUGUCCAGGCCUAACUGCUCGAUGUCGCAAAUUUGCAACCUAAAAGAUUUUUUGCUUAGAAGUUCAUUUGCACCAAAAAUAACUUUAGUGAUCGAUUACAUAUACACAUUUGCAGGUACGUCCCCUGGGCGCCGCCAUCUUCCUAGCUGGAGAGCGCGUGAGCUGCGCCAUAACCUAAUUACGAUGCCUUGAGAAGAAGACGUAGUCAGAUUAUGGCGCGGCCCACAGUGUACCUAAGUACCCCCCAGUAAGCAAGAUGGCGGCGCCCAUAGUAAAACAUUUUUCUUAUCUACACUUUGCUUUAAUUCCCUGCGUUAAAUGGUCAACAAGCUUCUUCAUAUCCCAAAAUGAGUACUACUGCUGCUACCAUUCUUUGUGAUUCUGUAAGUUUUUUUCGUUAAACUGAAUGCUGAUACAGGAGAGACUUUUUCAAAAUCAGGGUAGGCAAUAUCUGUGAUGGUAAAGCACUGAAUCGUGAUGCGAGAGCUGACCCUGCUUGGGUUUGGAGUUUGACUGUCUCUAUGUUUACACACAGUGUCAAUUUUCAUGCCUCAAUUUGCUGUUCUCCUUACAGGAAUAACUUGUGCAUUUCUCUUUAAAGUUGCAGCUGUACAUAGGUGAAAUGGCGCCACUCAUAGUAUGAUAUAGAGUGGCAGCAGCAUUCUUACUCGAUUUGGGAGCGGUUUGUGAAGCGGCGUGUUGACAGUGAGUGCCCGUGUCGAAAGGAGUGAAAUAUGCACAAAAAUACUGAAUGUGCACUAGGAGAGAAAUUUUGAAAAUAAAAGUGACAGCCACUGAACUGAGCUGACUAAGAUCAGGGAAUGAGAUUUGAGGGGUAUUGGGGUGGCGAAGCAGUCUGAAGGGAGAGCAAUAUUUCUAGUGCAAGUUAAAGGGCUCGGAUAAUUUCACAAAUAGUUUCUUUAUGGUGAGUAUACACAUGUCCAGCAUGGGAUUUCAGGCUUGGAUUUCACAGCUUCAUGCUUUCCCACCAUUCAUAUUAAAAGUUUGAAGUCUAGGAGCAAGUUUGGUGCAGUGUUUGCUUUAAUCGUGUGCACUUUUAAUUUUCCUUAAUGUUAAACCAGGUGUCACAUGUGUGUAACUUCAAAGCGCCUGUGAUUUCAGUGUUGACUGUUGAACCAGUAAUUUUCUUAUAAUUUGAUGCUUCCUACCGGCAGGUGUGCCACCCCUUGUUGCGGCUAUGGAGACUCGUGGAGUGGCAGGCCCUGUGGUUCAAGAGGAUAUUGUGUAGAAUAUGAUAACCUUUGGAGACAUUGCGCUUCCUGAAGCGCAGUUGAAGCAUGUCGACACGAAGCAGCCAUCCAUUUACGUUCAGGAACUCGCGGUCAUGGUAUUUGAAACUGAGGCCCUGACAAACUGCUGCCUUACGGGGUCGGCAAUGAAGGGAAAGCUUCCUAAGAAGGGAGUUAAGGACUUGAUAGGCUUUUAAAGGGGUUAUGAAAUAGUCCUCAGACUUCGGCCAACUUUUGUUACUGCCAAUUCCCUGGAGAAACUCGGAAGUCCGUGAAAGAAUACCUGUAAAGGAAGUGCAGCAAUGCUUCCUACACUCAAAACAAAGCCUCCAACACACAAAAGAAAACUGCAGAAUGAAAAAAAAAAAAAAUUAGCUUUCAUUUUCAUUUAUUCUGCGCAUUGGCUUUUUUUUUCUCUUAAAUCUGAUUAGCGAUUAAUUUAGAUUUUAUUUAACAAGUGCAUUAACUUUUUUCAUUCAUUUUACUUCAGUCAUGUAGGUGAUGUUACUUCAGUCAUGGUAGAUGAUAAAUAUUGUAGGUUUUAUAUUAACAGGUGCAAUACUAUUUUUGCUCGUUUUUCUUCAUCAUGAUAGUUUGUAAUUAUUUUUUUCUUCUAAUAAGAGCUUGUUUAUAAAGCUUUAAGUGCAUCUGUGAUAUUUGUAAGCCACUAAAAGUAUUACGUUUUUUGUUCCAUCGUAAGUGUUUGUUUUAGGCAACAUGUGUUCAUUAUAUUGAAAAAAAUAUUUGUUUAAUAAAAAGUUCUUACUUUAA
rnacentral:misc_RNA from 1 species